CACACACAAUCUGACAGUGUAACAUGCCACAAAUGCGGAAAGUAAGUGACAAAGCCAACGCCUAGAACGUGGUGCGCGAUACUCGUUCUUUAGGACGGAACUAAAUAGGGCUAUGAUGCGGAUAACAUGAUCUUACAAAUCAACAAGUACCGGACUGCAAACGUUCACGAGUUGCUAGCGCAGUUCGGUGUGAUGGGAAAGUUGACCCAGUGCUAGUCAGCGAAAAGUAUCGGAGAAAGAAUCUAACUUCAUGGGAUCUCAACUCAUCGGGUACUGUUGCCAUCUAGGUUCGGAACGAUGCCUGAGUUCAGAUCGAACACCGAGAGGAUAACUUUGCCUGCAUUCGGUGUUUAUGGAUAAUGUGUGGAGCGUGUCAGUACUGUUACGUGCAAUAACUGGUUGUUAUCUAAAGCACACACAACAUUGAUGACCCCGACGGCUACAGUUGGAGCAUAUUGUCAAAAGAGACUGAAUGCAGCGUGCAACAAACGGUAACGAAAAUGUUCGUCGGGCUGCAAAGGAAUUCACCAGCAGUUGCAAAGUAAGCGGCGUUUCCGUUUAAAAUUCACCGUAGUUUCCCAGCAUGAGGGUUAGUGAAUGGAGUAGCCCUGACGCCCCGACGCCCAAACCCGGCAGCAUUUUGUUACCCAACCAGGUUAUGCUUACAGACAUCAGUAUUGAACACGUAUCUUGCGGGCGUUCUUACGAUAUUCCGAUUUGAACCGAAAAUCUGUGCGAUUGGAAAGUGCUAGAUCAAACUCUCUGCUAGCUUUAAAAUCAAAUUAUUAUCUAAAUUCUAUACAUUGGACAAUCUAAUACAGUUGUCUUACACAAAUACAAGAAAUAUACACACGCUGCAAGACUCA